AUGGGGUCACUGUCCCAGCUUCUCUUUGGGCUCCUCAUGCUUUUGGUCCCAGGUUCCAGGGGGGAAAUUGUGCUAACCCAGUCUCCACCCUCAAUGUCUGUGACCCCAGGAGAGAGAGUCACCAUCAGCUGCAAAGCCAGUCAGAGUGUCAAAUACAGUGAUGGAAAAACGUAUCUGUACUGGUUCCAACAGAAACCUGGACAAUCUCCUCGGCUUCUCUUUUACCAGGUUUCCAAGCUGCAUUCAGGAGUCCCUGCGCUGUUCAGUGGCAGUGGUGCUGAGAAGGAUUUCACCCUCACAAUCAGCAGUGUGGAGCCUGGGAAGGGGCAUAUUAUUACUGCUUUCAAGGAACUUCUCGACCUCGCACAGGCAGCUGCUAG